rnacentral:rRNA from 1 species
UGCGGAAGGAUCAUUACUAGAGCAAAGGAUAGACAGCGCCCGCGGAGCUCGCUCCCGGGGCUACCCUACUCCCGUAGGGUUUAGAGUCGUCGGGCCUCUCGGAGAAGCUCGGUCCUGAACUCCACCCUUGAAUAAACUACCUUUGUUGCUUUGGCGGGCCGCCUCGUGCCAGCGGCUUCGGCUGUUGAGUGCCCGCCAGAGGACCCCAACUCUUGUUUUUAGUGAUGUCUGAGUACUAUAUAAUAGUUAAAACUUUCAACAACGGAUCUCUUGGUUCUGGCAUCGAUGAAGAACGCAGCGAAAUGCGAUAAGUAAUGUGAAUUGCAGAAUUCAGUGAAUCAUCGAAUCUUUGAACGCACAUUGCGCCCUCUGGUAUUCCGGGGGGCAUGCCUGUUCGAGCGUCAUUAUAACCACUCAAGCUCUCGCUUGGUAUUGGGGUUCGCGGUUUCGCGGCCCCUAAAAUCAGUGGCGGUGCCUGUCGGCUCUACGCGUAGUAAUACUCCUCGCGAUUGAGUCCGGUAGGUCUACUUGCCAGCAACCCCUAAUUUUUUUUAAGGUUGACCUCGGAUCAGGUAGGGAUACCCGCUGAACUUAAGCAUAUCAAUAAGCGGAGGAAAAGAAACCAACAGGGAUUACCUCAGUAACGGCGAGUGAAGCGGUAACAGCUCAAAUUUGAAAGCUGGCUCUUUUAGGGUCCGCGUUGUAAUUUGUAGAAGAUGCUUCGGGUGUGGCCCCGGUCUAAGUUC